UUACAGGCGUGAGCCACCGUGCCCAGCUAUUUUACUGUCUUCUAUCUCUGUCAUUUUGCUCUACUUUCUGGGAAGUUCCUCAAAUUUGUCAUCCUAUUCUACUGAGUUUUUAAUUUUUAUUGUUAAUUUUUAAAAACUUAUUUCUAAGAGCUUUCUUCUGUGCUCUGAUUUUCCUUUUCAAAGUCAUCCUUCUUUGCUUCAUGGAUCUGUUAUCUUUUCUUUUUUCCCCUCCUAGGGUAUGAAUAAUCGUAUGGAUGUUUUCUUCUCCUUUAUACUCACUUUUUGUUUCUUUUGAGCUCUCUGUUUUAUAUUAAAGGCAUUCCUGGGAUUUCUGGAAAUCUUUGUUUAAUAGCUUAUAUUUGAAAAACAACCUUAUUGGGGCUGGGCACAGUGGCUCACGCCUAUAAUCCCAGCACUUUGGGAGGCCAAGGCGCGUGGGUCACCUGAGGCCAGGAGUUUGAGACCAGCCUGGCCAACAUGGUGAAACCUCAUCUCUACUAAAAAUACAAAAAUUUGCCUGGCAUGGUGCUGCACAUGCCUGUAGUCCCAACUACUCGGGAGACGGAGGCAGGAGAAUCGCUUGAGCCCAGGAGGUUGCAGUGAGCCAAGAUCACAUCACUGCACUCCAGCCUGGGCGACAGAGCGAGACUCUGUCUCAAAACUAAUCAUAAAUAAGUUAAUUAAAACAACCUUAUUGAGGCACAAUUUGCAUUUAAUAAAAGACAACUAUUUUCCACAUACAUUUUGAUAAGUGUGGCACAUACAUGCAUGCAUGUAACAACCACGACAAUCAAAAGAAAGAACAUUUCCGUCACAUAAGACAGUUCCUGUGCCCUUUCCCAGUCAAUCCCCACCACCCUCACCCCUCAGUCCCACGCAACCACUAAUCUACUUUCUUCACUAUGGAUUAGAUUUGUCAUUUCUAGCAUUUUGUAUAAAUAAAAUCUUACACGGUAUACUCAUACACAGUGUACACGGUGCCUGCAUUCUUUUGUUCAGCAUGAUGUGCCUGACAUUCAUUCAUGUUGUUGAGUGCUUCAGCAGUUCAUUUCUUCUUAUUGCUGUUUUUCCCCAGUAACCCAUUGUAUGAAUAUGUCUUUAUUUAUUCAUCCAUCUGCCAAUGGACAUUUGGCUUGGUUCAGUUUUAGUUAUUAUGACUAAAGCUGCUAGGAACAUUCACAUAAAAGUCUUUGUGUGGGCGUAUCUAGCUGGAGUGGCCAAGUCAAAUUGUCAGUGAAUCUUAGGUUUUUUAGGAAACCAUCAAAAUGGUUUCUGAAAUGGUUGUACCAUUUUCCAUUCCCAUCAAAAAUGUAUGAGAGUUCCAGUUUCUCCACAUCUUCUAUUAUCAAUCUUUUAAAAUUUUAGCCAUUCUUAUGGGUACAUAAUGGUAGCCCUUUGAGGUUUUAAUAUGCGUUUCCCCAACAAUUAAUGAUGUUGGACAAUUUUUCAUGUGAUUAUUGGCUAUUUGUAUAGCUUCUUUUGUGAAGUGUGCAUUCAAAUCUUUUACAUAUUUUCUAUUAGACGAUGAUAGAUAGAUAGACAGACGCAAUUCUUGUUAACCACAGUAGUUAUGUUCUAUAAAUUCAACACAAACACUGAAUUAGAGAAUACUGAACUGCUGCUCAUACGAUAAAUAUAGGAUUAGGUUCUUAUGAGCCUAUGGUCACGAUAUUUUUAUCAGCUGAGAAAUAUGUAACCUUGUUUUAUGUGAAUUUCUGUUUAGAGACACCCUUAUUUAACAUAUGUCAUUGAUUCAUUAACAUGGAAAUAAUAGCCAACAGCGCUAUAACUCAUGCCUGAACAAAGCUGGUCUAACACAUGUAUUUUCUCUGCAAGGCACAUGGAAGCACACUCAAGCGUUCGACAGCACUUCAGCACUGUGCUUGAGGCCAUUGAACACAAAAGCACCAAAUGUGAAAAAAGCGGCACUACGUAGGCAACAAAAAGAAUACUUGUUUACAGUGUGAUAACAUUCUGCAGCUCUGGGGAUUGGGACUUCAACAUGUGAAUUCGAGGGAACAAAAUACAGCCCAUAACAAUGAAGAAAUGGAUCCAUGAAGGGAUGGAAAGGAGGGCUCACAUGCAGCUCUGAGGGGAAACGAGGAGGCCAUGACCACAUUUUCUCCUAAAAAUAAAUAAAUAAAUAAAUAAAUAAAUAAAUAAAUAAACAAACAAACAAACCACAACAGAUAAAGUUAAAUUCCUCUUCUCCCAUCACUCCCCUGCCAGAACCUCCCCAGAGGUGGCUGUGGUCAUCUGUUUGGUGCACAGCUGUCCAAACCUGAUGCCCUAGGCUGGAGGAUUUCAUCAGCUCCUAUCUGUAAAGUGAAGUGAUCUCUAGGUGGAUCCAUUGGAAGGGUCUGGAGAGGCACGCAUACUGAUAUUUUAUUUGCUUAUGGGCGGGGGCGUGUUUGUGUCCCACAAGCUUGUUUUCAGACACUUUUCUCUGCAUGAUCAUAUGUCCUACAGAACUCUGCACGUCUGGAUAGAUGCAUAUUAUACAUUGUUGAUGAGGACUUUUGUCAACAGUCAUUUAAUUGUUACCACUGUUUCAAAACAGUACCAGGACUAUCAUGAAUCCCUUCUGGGAGCGUUUCUCGGGGUAGAUGCCAAGAAGUGAAACUUCUCAGUAGUAGGUGAUAUAUGUGCAUUUUAAAUUUUGACAGAUAAUGUUAAAUGUGACCCCAAAAUGUAUGAGUCUAUUUCGUUCUAUCCUCUCACCAAUACGCAUUAUCAAUAUUUUUAAUUUUUGUAAAAAAAAAAGUCAUUUGAACUCACAUUUUUCUAAUUGCUGGUGAGUUUCUGCACCUUUUUCAUACACAUAUUGGUUAUUUGUGUUUCUUCUUAUGAGAAUCAUCUAUUUAUAUCCUUUGCCUACUUUUUUACUGGGUUGUCCUUUCCUUCCAAUCUGUCCCUCAUAUUUUAACAUUGAGGAUGUAAUUUGUUGCGGAAAGUUUUUAGCGUGGAUGUCAAAUUGUCAAUCGUGACUUCAUGGCUUCAGAUUUUUUGAGAUUAGCCAACUUUCCCUAUUUCUAGACCACAAGCAUAUUUGUUUAGCUUUUUUACUCAAAUUACAAUAAAUACUUUAUACGCA
rnacentral:lncRNA from 10 species